rnacentral:rRNA from 1 species
AUACGGAGGGUGCAAGCGUUAUCCGGAUUCAUUGGGUUUAAAGGGUACGUAGGCGGAUAGAUAAGUUAGUGGUGAAAUCCCGAAGCUCAACUUCGGAACUGCCAUUAAAACUGUCUAUCUUGAAUUUGGUUGAAGUGGGCGGAAUAUGACAUGUAGCGGUGAAAUGCAUAGAUAUGUCAUGGAACACCGAUAGUGAAGACAGCUCACUAAGCCAAUAUUGACGCUGAGGUACGAAAGCAUGGGUAGCGAACAGGAUUAGAAACCCGGGUAGUCC